UACGGUAGGGGGCAAGCGUUGUCCGGAAUCAUUGGGCGUAAAGAGCGUGUAGGCGGCCUGAUAAGUCGGUUGUGAAAGUCAAGGGCUACAACCCUUGAAUGCCGGCCGAUACUGUUAGGCUAGAGUCCGGAAGAGGCGAGUGGAAUUCCUGGUGUGAGCGGUGAAAUGCGCAGAUAUCAGGAGGAACACCGAUGGCGAAGGCAGCUCGCUGGGACGGUACUGACGCUGAGACGCGAAGCGUGGGGAGCGAAC
rnacentral:rRNA from 1 species